rnacentral:rRNA from 1 species
UACGGAAGGCAGCAGUGGGGAAUAUUGCACAAUGGGCGCAAGCCUGAUGCAGCUAUGCCGCGUGUAUGAAGAAGGCCUUAGGGUUGUAAAGUACUUUUCAUCGGGGAGGAAAAAACAAAACUAAUAAUUUUUAUUUUCUUUGACGUUACCCGAAAAAGAAGCACCGGCUAACUCCGUGCCAGCAGCCGCGGUAAUACGGAGGGUGCUAGCGUUAAUCAGAAUUACUGGGCGUAAAGAGCACGUAGGUGGUUUUUUUAAGUUCAGAUGUGAAAUCCCUGGGCUUAACCUAGGAACUGCAUUUUGAAACUGAAAUACUAGAGUAUCGUAGAGGGAGGUAGAAUUCUAGGUGUAGCGGUGAAAUGCGUAGAUAUCUGGAGGAUACCUGUGGCGAAAGCGGCCUCCUAAACGAAUACUGACACUGAGGUGCGAAAGCGU